rnacentral:tmRNA from 1 species
GGGGGCGACAGGUUUCGACGGGAAUAGGUUGAGCUUGGAUGGCAAGUCAAGUUCCAGAACUUGUAAAAACUGGGCUAAACAUAAAUGCUAAUGAUUCAGAGUUAGCUUUAGCAGCCUAAUAAACUAAGCUGCUACGUCUGCAAAAAGUUUCCUGCACUUUUUGACAGGCGCCGAUAGCAGGAUACUUUAUUGCAGCCCGGCUGUAACUGCAGUAAGGGAAACCUAAACAGCAUAGUUUUUUACAACCCUGUCCAUAUGGUUGUAAAAAGCGAAAACUGAAUAUGGACUAAGCUUGUAGAAGUCCUUGUGGCAAUAUUUUCGGACGCGGGUUCAAUUCCCGCCGCCUCCACCA